GCCUGCCCUUCUGCUGGGUCCCUCAUUCAGAAUGACAUUCUCGACAUCCUGGCAUUGAAACUGAGCAGCCACCUGUCUGGUAAUCUUGGGAACAACCUGUGGCUGCCUUAAGCUUGACUGCCAGUGGAUUACAGGUCUAGGGGAGGUUCCGAUGGGCACAGGCUCAGCCUCUUCCUGACAUAAGGAACGCAAACCCACCGACCCAAGCUCUCUGCUCCCGCUGAAACACAGGCUGGAGGCGCCAGUUCAGAUCAUCUGGGCAAGAUAGCUAAGACUCCAGGCUGCUACCAAGGAAGGGACAACAUGGUACUAACUGGUUACAUUUUAGCCCUCCAGCUCCCAGGAUACACACACUACACUGGUACAAAUACACUCCGCCCCUGGGAGGGCCCCCGCUCACAGACAUUUUGGGAACCUACAAGGGCAGGAAGCUGGGGAGGAGGGCCCCAGGGCAGGCAUCUAUAGAGAGGAGGAACUGAACACAAUAGUGACAAUUUACCGAAAGCUUACCCACAGUAAACUAAACUCUUGUUUACACUGCUUCGUCUAAUCUUCCAAGAGUCCCCUGAAACAGAUGAAAAAUUAAUACCAUGAAGAGAUACCAGAAGGAGGAAGCUGCAGUGCUGAUUGGACAAAAGCUGGAAUCUGGGUUUGAUGUUUGCCCAUCCAAUGCUGAUCUUCCCAGAACCGCCCAGCUGACUGCUUCUCCCCACAGGUUGCCUUCAACUGACCACAAAGAAAAGUGAGCCCAGAAGUGAAGAGCAAGCACUGCCUACAUUCCUGAAGCUUCUUGCCCCAUUGUCCCUCCCGAGACCCAACAGCAUUUCUACCCAUGGAUUCUGUGCCAUUCUCCUUCUCUUGGAAUCUUCCAGGUAUGUCCACAGAAUCCUUCUCAACACGGCAACACAGCCAGAUGAUCGGAGCAGGCACGUGGCUCACAUUUGCCAUCCCUUACCUUGGAAGAGGAACAUCUGCAAAGGUUUUCCUCCAGGAAUGUGCCUGAGUUUAAAAAGUCUCUGUGGCAUUUGCUACUCUGAAAAUCUAGCUGAAGAAAUGCGGCAGAGGGCGGGUCCUGAGAGCCCACUGCAGCCUUACAGCUUUGGAAACGUGGAGAUGUCCUGAUCAGGGUAAUUCUGAUGCUAAGAUGGUAAAAUAUGAAGGCGCACUGAUUCAGCAAGCUCUAAACCAAGGGUCGCAUGUGCAGAUGCCUUCAAGGACACUCAGUUUCUGGGGAUGAGAAGGGACCACUGAGCCACCCUCCUCAGAUGGAAUCCUAGGAACAUUGGCAGAAGGUGUUCCUCCCGGGACUUUCCAGUCAACUGAAACCCUCUUCUCAAAGCUGUGCUGAUUACAUUCUCCACCAAUUUUGUCCACUUCCUUUUUUUUAAUUAAAUUUUUUUUUAUUUCUUUAUUUAUUUUUGACUGCACUGGCUAUUCAUUGCUGUGUG